GCUUGUCUCAAAGAUUAAGCCAUGCAUGUCUCAGUAUAAGCUUGUGCAUAGUGAAACUGCGAACGGCUCAUUAUAACAGUUAUAAUUUGUUUGGUGUUCAAGUUUACAUGGGUAACUGUGGCAAUUCUAGAGCUAAUACAUGCGAAAAGACGGGCCGCAAGGCUUGUUGUAUUUAUUAGAUAAAAAAUCAAUACCUGUUCUGCAGGUCCUAUUGGUGAGUCAUAAUAACUGUUCGAAUCGCAUGCUUCGGCAGGCGAUAGUUCAUUCAAAUUUCUGCCCUAUCAGCUUUCGACGGUAGUGUAGUGGACUACCGUGGCGUUAACGGGUAACGGAGAAUUAGGGUUCGAUUCCGGAGAGGGAGCCUGAGAAAUGGCUACCACAUCCAAGGAAGGCAGCAGG
rnacentral:rRNA from 1 species